rnacentral:misc_RNA from 1 species
CGAAAUGCGAUAAGUAAUGUGAAUUGCAGAAUUCAGUGAAUCAUCGAAUCUUUGAACGCACAUUGCGCCCGCCAGUAUUCUGGCGGGCAUGCCCGUUCGAGCGUCAUUUCAACCAUCAAGCCCCCGGCUUGUGUUGGGGACCUGCGGCUGCCCGCAGGCCCUGAAAAACAGUGGCGGGCUCGCUGUCACACCGAGCGUAGUAGCAUACAUUCUCGCUCAGGGCGUGCUGCGGGUUCCGGCCGUUAAACGACCUUCAUAACCCAAGGUUGACCUCGGAUCAGGUAGGAAGACCCGCUGAACUUAAGC